rnacentral:rRNA from 1 species
UACAGAGGGUGCGAGCGUUAAUCGGAAUUACUGGGCGUAAAGCGCGUGUAGGCGGCCCUGCAAGUCGGGUGUGAAAUCCCACGGCUCAACCGUGGAAGUGCAUUCGAAACUGCAGGGCUAGAGUCCUGGAGAGGAAGGUGGAAUGCUUGGUGUAGAGGUGAAAUUCGUAGAUAUCAAGCGGAACACCGGUGGCGAAGGCGGCCUUCUGGACAGUGACUGACGCUGAGACGCGAAAGCGUGGGGAGCAAACAGG